UACGUAGGGUGCAAGCGUUGUCCGGAAUUAUUGGGCGUAAAGAGCUCGUAGGCGGUCUGUCGCGUCGGCUGUGAAAACUUGGGGCUCAACCCCAAGCCUGCAGUCGAUACGGGCAGACUAGAGUGCGGUAGGGGAGACUGGAAUUCCUGGUGUAGCGGUGAAAUGCGCAGAUAUCAGGAGGAACACCGGUGGCGAAGGCGGGUCUCUGGGCCGAUACUGACGCUGAGGAGCGAAAGCGUGGGGAGCGAACAGG
rnacentral:rRNA from 1 species